UACAGAGGGUGCAAGCGUUGUUCGGAAUUAUUGGGCGUAAAGGGUACGUAGGCGGCUUGUUAAGUCAGGGGUGAAAUCCUGGAGCUCAACUCCAGAACUGCCUUUGAUACUGGCGAGCUUGAGUUCGGGAGAGGUGAGUGGAACUGCGAGUGUAGAGGUGAAAUUCGUAGAUAUUCGCAAGAACACCAGUGGCGAAGGCGGCUCACUGGCCCGAUACUGACGCUGAGGUGCGAAAGCGUGGGGAGCAAACAGG
rnacentral:rRNA from 1 species